UGGUGAGUAAUGCGUGACCAACCUGCCCCAUGCUCCAGAAUAGCUCUUGGAAACGGGUGGUAAUGCUGGAUGCUCCAACUUGACGCAUGUCUUGUUGGGAAAGUGUUUAGUGGCAUGGGAUGGGGUCGCGUCCUAUCAGCUUGUAGGCGGGGUAAUGGCCCACCUAGGCUUCGACGGGUAGCCGGCCUGAGAGGGCGGACGGCCACAUUGGGACUGAGAUACGGCCCAGACUCCUACGGGAGGCAGCAGGC
rnacentral:rRNA from 1 species